rnacentral:tRNA from 1 species
UGGCUCAGUGGUAGAGCGCUUGCUUUGUAUGCAUGAUACCUUGGGUUCGAUUCCUUA